rnacentral:rRNA from 1 species
AGCGUACACGGUGGAUGCCCUGGCAGUCAGAGGCGAUGAAGGGCGUGCUAAUCUGCGAUAAGCGCCGGUAAGGUGAUAUGAACCGUUAUAACCGGCGAUACCCGAAUGGGGAAACCCAGUGUGAUUCGUCACACUAUCAUUAACUGAAUCCAUAGGUUAAUGAGGCGAACCGGGGGAACUGAAACAUCUAAGUACCCCGAGGAAAAGAAAUCAACCGAGAUUCCCCCAGUAGCGGCGAGCGAACGGGGAGGAGCCCAGAGCCUGAAUCAGCAUGUGUGUUAGUGGAAGCGUCUGGAAAGGUGCGCGAUACAGGGUGACAGCCCCGUACACAAAAGCGCAUGUGCUGUGAGCUCGAUGAGUAGGGCGGGACACGUGGUAUCCUGUCUGAAUAUGGGGGGACCAUCCUCCAAGGCUAAAUACUCCUGACUGACCGAUAGUGAACCAGUACCGUGAGGGAAAGGCGAAAAGAACCCCGGCGAGGGGAGUGAAAAAGAACCUGAAACCGUGUACGUACAAGCAGUGGGAGCCCCACCACUAAGCCAGUGGUGAACUCCACAUCCGCAUCCUUUGCUGAGGAUACGGUUAACGGAGCGAAAGCGACGUUCAACCGCAAAACAAGCAGAGGGGGCUUAGUGGUGGGGUGACUGCGUACCUUUUGUAUAAUGGGUCAGCGACUUAUAUUCUGUAGCAAGGUUAACCGUAUAGGGGAGCCGGAGGGAAACCGAGUCUUAAUUGGGCGUUAAGUUGCAGGGUAUAGACCCGAAACCCGGUGAUCUAGCCAUGGGCAGGUUGAAGGUUGGGUAACACUAACUGGAGGACCGAACCGACUAAUGUUGAAAAAUUAGCGGAUGACCUGUGGCUGGGGGUGAAAGGCCAAUCAAACCGGGAGAUAGCUGGUUCUCCCCGAAAGCUAUUUAGGUAGCGCCUCGUGAAUUCAUCUCCGGGGGUAGAGCACUGUUUCGGCUAGGGGGCCAUCCCGGCUUACCAACCCGAUGCAAACUGCGAAUACCGGAGAAUGUUAUCACGGGAGACACACGGCGGGUGCUAACGUCCGUCGUGAAGAGGGAAACAACCCAGACCGCCAGCUAAGGUCCCAAAGUCAUGGUUAAGUGGGAAACGAUGUGGGAAGGCCCAGACAGCCAGGAUGUUGGCUUAGAAGCAGCCAUCAUUUAAAGAAAGCGUAAUAGCUCACUGGUCGAGUCGGCCUGCGCGGAAGAUGUAACGGGGCUAAACCAUGCACCGAAGCUGCGGCAGCGAACGUAUCACCCAAGACAACUUUACGGAGUUGACGAUUGACGGAGCGAAGCGACGUCAAAGCGUUCAUUAAAGUCGAGUUGGCUUAGGGAUACGUUCGUUGGGUAGGGGAGCGUUCUGUAAGCCUGUGAAGGUGUGUCGUGAGGCAUGCUGGAGGUAUCAGAAGUGCGAAUGCUGACAUAAGUAACGAUAAAGCGGGUGAAAAGCCCGCUCGCCGGAAGACCAAGGGUUCCUGUCCAACGUUAAUCGGGGCAGGGUGAGUCGACCCCUAAGGCGAGGCCGAAAGGCGUAGUCGAUGGGAAACGGGUUAAUAUUCCCGUACUUGGUGUUACUGCGAAGGGGGGACGGAGAAGGCUAUGUUGGCCGGGCGACGGUUGUCCCGGUUUAAGCGUGUAGGUGUGUGUUCCAGGUAAAUCCGGUUCACUUUAACACUGAGGCGUGACGACGAGGCACUACGGUGCUGAAGCAACAAAUGCCCUGCUUCCAGGAAAAGCCUCUAAGCAUCAGGUAACACGAAAUCGUACCCCAAACCGACACAGGUGGUCAGGUAGAGAAUACCAAGGCGCUUGAGAGAACUCGGGUGAAGGAACUAGGCAAAAUGGUGCCGUAACUUCGGGAGAAGGCACGCUGACACGUAGGUGAAGUGAUUUACUCAUGGAGCUGAAGUCAGUCGAAGAUACCAGCUGGCUGCAACUGUUUAUUAAAAACACAGCACUGUGCAAACACGAAAGUGGACGUAUACGGUGUGACGCCUGCCCGGUGCCGGAAGGUUAAUUGAUGGGGUCAGCGUAAGCGAAGCUCCUGAUCGAAGCCCCGGUAAACGGCGGCCGUAACUAUAACGGUCCUAAGGUAGCGAAAUUCCUUGUCGGGUAAGUUCCGACCUGCACGAAUGGCGUAAUGAUGGCCAGGCUGUCUCCACCCGAGACUCAGUGAAAUUGAACUCGCUGUGAAGAUGCAGUGUACCCGCGGCAAGACGGAAAGACCCCGUGAACCUUUACUAUAGCUUGACACUGAACAUUGAGCCUUGAUGUGUAGGAUAGGUGGGAGGCUUUGAAGUGUGGACGCCAGUCUGCAUGGAGCCGACCUUGAAAUACCACCCUUUAAUGUUUGAUGUUCUAACGUGGACCCGUAAUCCGGGUUGCGGACAGUGUCUGGUGGGUAGUUUGACUGGGGCGGUCUCCUCCUAAAGAGUAACGGAGGAGCACGAAGGUUGGCUAAUCCUGGUCGGACAUCAGGAGGUUAGUGCAAUGGCAUAAGCCAGCUUGACUGCGAGCGUGACGGCGCGAGCAGGUGCGAAAGCAGGUCAUAGUGAUCCGGUGGUUCUGAAUGGAAGGGCCAUCGCUCAACGGAUAAAAGGUACUCCGGGGAUAACAGGCUGAUACCGCCCAAGAGUUCAUAUCGACGGCGGUGUUUGGCACCUCGAUGUCGGCUCAUCACAUCCUGGGGCUGAAGUAGGUCCCAAGGGUAUGGCUGUUCGCCAUUUAAAGUGGUACGCGAGCUGGGUUUAGAACGUCGUGAGACAGUUCGGUCCCUAUCUGCCGUGGGCGCUGGAGAACUGAGGGGGGCUGCUCCUAGUACGAGAGGACCGGAGUGGACGCAUCACUGGUGUUCGGGUUGUCAUGCCAAUGGCACUGCCCGGUAGCUAAAUGCGGAAGAGAUAAGUGCUGAAAGCAUCUAAGCACGAAACUUGCCCCGAGAUGAGUUCU